UAAUCGCCUUUGCUUCACGGUUCUGUUACGGUGUAGAGGGAAUUACUCAAAACUGUACGCCGUAGCAGAGUCGCUACGCCAGGGCGAGUA
rnacentral:pre_miRNA from 1 species